rnacentral:rRNA from 1 species
AGCCUGAACGCUGGCGGCGUGGCUAAGACAUGCAAGUCGCACGGUGUAGCAAUACACAGUGGCGAACGGGUGAGUAAUGAAUCGCUAAUGUGCCCUGGACUCUGGGAUAGCUAUCCGAAAGGGUAGGUAAUACCAGAUGAGACCACAAGCAGGCAUCUGCUGGUGCUCAAAGGUCCGCCGGUCUGGGAGCAGGCGAUUUCGAUCAGCUAGUUGGUGAGGUAACGGCUCACCAAGGCGACGACGCGUAGCCGGACUGAGAGGUUGGCCGGCCACAUCGGGACUGAGACACUGCCCGGACUCCUACGGGGGGCUGCAGUAACGAAUCUUCCGCAACGCACGAAAGUGUGACGGAGCGACGCCGCGUGUGGGACGAAGCCCCUUGGGUCGUAAACCGACUGUCCGAGGGUUAAGAAAGUUCUGAUCAACCCCGAGAGGAAGGCACGGCUAACUCUGUGCCAGCAGCCGC